ensembl:snRNA U7 U7 small nuclear RNA
UAAGGUUAGGGCUCUUCUAGAAUUUGUCUAGCGGGCUUGGAAGGCCCCA